GUUGAAACAUCAGUUCCCAUACAUUCACCAAAGUUAAGCAACAUCUAGCCUCAUUAGUACCAAGAUGAGUGACCACUUGGGAAUAGCAGGUACUGUAUG